CCUACGGGGGGCUGCAGUAGGGAAUCUUCCGCAAUGGACGAGAGUCUGACGGAGCAACGCCGCGUGAGCGAAGAAGGCCUUCGGGUCGUAAAGCGCUGUUGUUAGGGACGAACAAGUACCGGAGUAACUGCCGGUACGGUGACGGUACCUAACCAGAAAGCCACGGCUAAGUGCGUGCCAGCAGCCGCGGUAAUAAGUAGGUUGCAAGCGUUGUCCGGGAUUAUUGGGCGGAAAGGGCGCGGAGGAGGGUCCUUAAGUCGGAUGUGGAAGGCCAGGGCACAAACGUAGCGGGUCAUGGGAGGCUGGGGAAGUUGAGUGCAGGUGAGAGAAGCGGGAAUCCACGUGUAGCGGUAAAAAGGGUAGAGAUGUGGAGGAACACCAGUGGCGAAGGCGGCUCUCUGGUCUGUGACUGACGCUGGGGCGCGAAAGCGUGGGGAGGAAACAGGAUUAGAUUCCCCAGUAGUC
rnacentral:rRNA from 1 species